CCUACGGGAGGCAGCAGUAGGGAAUCUUCCACAAUGGGUGCAAGCCUGAUGGAGCAACACCGCGUGAGUGAAGAAGGGUUUCGGCUCGUAAAGCUCUGUUGUUGGAGAAGAACGUGCGUGAGAGUAACUGUUCACGCAGUGACGGUAUCCAACCAGAAAGUCACGGCUAACUACGUGCCAGCAGCCGCGGUAAUACGUAGGUGGCAAGCGUUAUCCGGAUUUAUUGGGCGUAAAGCGAGCGCAGGCGGUUGCUUAGGUCUGAUGUGAAAGCCUUCGGCUUAACCGAAGAAGUGCAUCGGAAACUGGGCGACUUGAGUGCAGAAGAGGACAGUGGAACUCCAUGUGUAGCGGUGGAAUGCGUAGAUAUAUGGAAGAACACCGAUUGCGAAGGCAGCAUACCGGCGCCCGACUGACGCUGAGGCACGAAAGCGUGGGUAUCGAACAGGAUUAGAUACCCGGGUAGUC
rnacentral:rRNA from 1 species